CUGUAGCUGCUGUCUGUUCUGUCCUGAUCGUCGUCAUCGCUGUGGUCGUCAUAGUUGUUGUUUGUAGAAAACAGACACGUAAAGGGAGGGGAUACUUUCAUAACCGCGUGGUCACGUAUACCCGGGACACAGAAACAGACGGGAGCUACCAGGAAAUAGAAG